AAAUUAACAAUGGCCAGACUUGGCCAUUUAAGCUUGGCUUUGCCUUUAGCCUUCUUAAUGGAAUAACCCCCUGGGGGGUAUUGCACAAAACUAGAAUAAAGAAAUCCAGCAUAAUUGAGCAAGCGCGGCUUGAACUAGUCUGCUUGGCGCAUCCUGGCUUAAUUGGUUGCAUGUUUGCCGAACCAGGAUGAAAAGGCGCGGCUAAGUUAAGCCAGGUGAAGAUAGUUGGGAUAAGUGCGUGUUCAUGGCAUACUUAAAUAGACCUCGCGAUCGCUCACAGAAUCACCGAUGAGAACAUGGACAAAAGUCGUGCGUCAUGCUUUACGGCAGCCAAACAACAUCUCCUGAUGGAGUUCUAAGAAGAGGUGAAAGAGUCCAUAUGUAAAAAAAAGGCAAUACUAAUGCCAUAAUCAAAGAACGUGAGAAAAUAGCGGACCGGCUUAAUGCGUAGUCCAAAACUGUCCAAUUAAUAAACAGUGCUCCACUGGAACUGUCAUAAUUAGGCUACAAUUAAAGGACUAAAGGAGUUACUUUUCAAGUUACUCAGGAAAUGUAGAGUAUGAUUAAGUGCAAACAAUUAUCCACAAUGUGUGUCAUUUCAUCUAUUUUUCUCAUUAUACGUUUUUAUCUAUUUUAUCUUUCUAUCCUUCAUAAAGAACAAACUUGUCUGGCCAUAAAAGGACCUGGAAGCAAGUUCAAAUUAAAUAUCCGAACAUUUUGCAGGCUGCUAAGUGACUUUAAAGUAGAUAACAGUGAACAAAUGAGGUGAAUAGUUUAGGUGUCUGCUGAUAUGAUGAAUGUCUGUAUGAUUGUAGCAGUAAAAAAAAAUCCAAUAGAACUGGCCCAGGGGGCGGCCCACCAAGCCAGGAUAUGACCCCAGCGGAGGAGCUGGCACUCCAUUUAAAUAAAGGGAGGCCAGUGAUGGAGGAGAUCCAGGGAGGGACAGUAACAGACUCUGUCCCAGCCACAGAAACUGUCCGCUUCAUACAAGGUACAUAUUGCAGUACUACUGCACAUGGAACACAAUCAAAUAAAUAUAUGAUACUGUCUGACUUUGGAUUUCCUUGCAGUGUCUGGGAACACACUUACACUUCUAGGGCCAACAGAAGAUGAUCCAGUUAGUACAUUGUAUUGAAAUCACAGGCUUGGUAUGUCCUGUGAAAUCUUAAUUCAAGUUCUCUCAAUACAUGUAUGUAUAUGGCAGGGGGAAGGCACAUCUGCAGCUGCAGAAUUCACUUCUGCAGAUGAGGAGACUGUGUCACUGGACUCCAGAAGGCUUGUGAUAUGUCAAUUUUACGGAAAUAUCCUGCUUAUUUAGUCCAUAAAGGAUAUGAAGUCAGUGAUGUGGUGAGAAUAGAAAACAUGUGUAACAGGACCCAGAUGCUGCACAGUCUCCUAAGCAGCCUGGUAACAUGGUGAGUGUUGGCCAAAGUAAAUCUACAUUAUGCACAAAUCCUGCUGUGCUAAUUGACAUUUCUUUUACAGACGUCACAAACUGUCAGAACACUAUAUGUAAAGCAGCCGGAGAGACAGAUAGAGCUGGCAGAUGUGAAAAUCACACUCAAGAAGAGAAAGCUCCAAGAAAUGGAGCUGGACAUUGAGAUUAGACGCCUGACACUCAGGAAACCGGAUUAGAAAAUCCAGAAACUACAAAGAGAAGAUCCAAGCAACCAAGACAAAUGAGGACAGCCAAAUAAAAACAAUUCAACCAGAAAA